rnacentral:rRNA from 1 species
UACGUAGGGAGCAAGCGUUGUCCGGAAUCAUUGGGCGUAAAGCGCGCGUAGGUGGCUUCGUAAGUCCGUUGUGAAAGUCAAAGGCUCAACCUUUGAAAGCCGAUGGAUACUGCGGAGCUAGAGUACGGAAGAGGCGAGUGGAAUUCCCGGUGUAGCGGUGAAAUGCGCAGAUAUCGGGAAGAACACCCGUGGCUAAGGCGGCUCUCUAGUACGGUACUGACGCUGAGACGCGAAAGCGUGGGGAGCGAACAGG